rnacentral:lncRNA from 1 species
ACACACACAGGAACCAGGCACACAAAAAGCAGAUAUAGGCAUGCACACACACAAACACAGACACAUGCAAGCACACACACACACAGAGAGAGGGAGAGAGAGAUGCGGAAACACACACACACAAACACACACACAGAAACGCAUAGGUGUACACACACGUGAAGAGAGUUUGUAGCUGUUGCAACACUGUGACCAGUGCGAAAGGGUGGGGAAGCAGUGGGCUGCCGGUCUCAACAUAAGCAAAUUGCCAAUAAAUUAUCCUCUCUGCUGGGAGGGUGAGGGGAGCUCCAGCGAGCGAGCGAGCGAGAGAGAGAGAGAGAGAGAGAGAGAGAGAGAGAGAGAGAGAGAGACGUGAAUCGGAAUUAGCAAAGUCGGCCGCAGACGGGUGGGGGGUGUGCUUUCUUUCCCUCUCUACGGUACGUUUAUGUUCGUCCAGAUUUAGAGGGAGAUUACUCAUCAUUUCGUCUUCUCUGUCCCACCGCUGUUUCCGUGCACAGUCGCCUACAACGCGCUGUGGGUUUUUUUUGGACCCAUUCUCCCGGUCUUGUGCCUGGACGCUGGGAUUAAAUCACACUGAAGGCGACCGAAUUCACUCAGUGUGGAUCAUCACCCUGGACAGCGAGUCGAGGUCUGCCAGAGACAAACAGUCAACACAUUCAGAGGAAAGCCAGAGGUUAAUUUACCUCACCUGGUUGGCUUUGACUGACAGCUGAGGGAUGUCCUGUCUCCCAUUACCAUAGUGGAUGCGUCUGCGUGAGCGGCUGCCAGUCACGAGUGCUCUCCUGCACUGAGAGGCAAACCUCCAUCGCCCCCCCCCCCCCCCCCCCCACAACCUCCAGCGACCCCCCCCUCACAACCUCCAGCGACCCCCCCCCCACAACCUCCAUCGACCCCCCCCCCCACACACCCACCAGUGUGCCCCCCCCGGAGUGGCUCAUCUCAGCCAUGCUCUCAAUCUCAGUGAGCUGACACCAAUGACCCAAGUCACUGUUCGGGGAUCAGCUAUCCGUCAAAAGUUCCUGUGUGUUCGAGACCCUUGGUGAACGGAUGUAUGCCCGCCCCUGCGCUGACUUGGCUUUGUAAAGGGGUCAAGAUGAGCGUGGAGGUCACGAGGGGUCAUGUGAAACCCUGAUUAAAAAACGGGAGGUUCCCAAAUCCUUCCCAGACCCCAUGGAAGUGCGCUGAACAGCCUGAGGCAGUACCUCACACACACAUGCACAAACACACACACACCCAGAGUGCUCCCAAUCACCUGACGGACUGAAAACAAAUACCAGCCAACCUCAACGUCGAAAAAACCUCUUCUCCCUCUGUUUUUUUCUGUUAGCCGUUUAAUCCGUAUUUCUUUCCUGUAAAGAUUCUUCUCUUAAACAAGAAUGGAUAAACCUCUUCCGAACACGGUGGCAUGGUGACAUGGUGGCAGUCAGAUGCACCAUGAAGGUUUAGGGGAAUAAUAACCAUCUGUUACACCAGCCUGUGCUUUAAUGGACAGUUUCACUCGGAAAGCGUUGUGGUGCUCACAGUUAG